GAGUGGCAAGAUGGCGGCGCCCAGGAUGCCACCCUCCCGGCUGUCGGGCAUCAUGGUGCCCGCACCCAUCCAGGACCUGGAGGCCUUGCGCGCGCUCACGGCGCUCUUCAAGGAGCAGCGUAACCGGUAACUGCGCGGGGGCUGCCACCUAGGAAGGAGGAAGAGGAACCAUGGAGGGCUCUGGGCUGGGCUGGGCUUGACUGGGCUGGGCUGGGCAGCGGCGAGCGAGGCGGGGCGGCGGGCUCCAUCAGCUCGGCCCACGCUCAGGUUGUGGCUCUGUGGCGCUCGCCUAGGCCUGCUCUGGGACGAGGGUUUGGCCAGGCUCUAAGAGGGGCAGACGAUGGCGACACUGGUCCCCAAGCCGGCGGCGGGGAAGCUGUUGGUUCGGCUCCUCUGGCGGGGCCCUGAGGGCGGUGGCCAGGGAAGGGAGGCGUGUUCGGGCUCGCUUCUCCCUCUGGGUUAGAGGGCGUUCUGUCCAGGAGCCUGCAGAGCUGGCCUGGCUUCGUGACAUCUGCUCAGCAUCGCCUCUAACCCUUCUGUUUCUAGCCUUACAAAAUGGGAGCUGUGGUGCGUUGUUUUCAGUGCUGAGAUGAAAUAAACGUGUUUAAACAGAAGUGUGCGAGGCUGUCAGUUCCUGAUGGAUUUUUGUGGUAUGGUUUGCGCUGCAGUUUCCUUGUCUGUUUAAUGGAAACAAGGUUCGCUGGGACCUCCUUGGUUGAGUUGACAGUGAGGGUUUAAUGAGACGAUGCGUGUUACAUCCUUAGGCCAUGCCUGACACUUAGUACUAAACACCAUUGGUGUUUUCUCUUAACAGUAAUGGUCUCCCCUGGACCAAGUCUUGGGAGAGGACCCGGAGCCCUUGGUCUCUCCUGUAGAGAGAUAACAAGCAGGCCUAGAGUGUGGACAAAGGGCAGAGAACGCGGUGGGGGUGGGGGUGGGGGAAGCACGUAGGCUCAGUGGUCACAGGAACGUUUUCUAAAAAUAGGUAGCCGCCAGACAUGUCACGUGGCUCAGCCCUGCAGUUCCAGCAUUCAGGAAGCAGAGGCAGGUGGAUCUCUUGAGUUUGAGGCUGGACCAGUCAGCAUUGUGACAUCCUCUGUAUCUCAAAAACAAAUAAACCCGGGCUGGAGAGAUGGCUCAGCAGGUAAGAGCACCGACUGCUCUUCCAAAGGUCAUGAGUUCAAAUCCCAGCAACCGUAUGGUGGCUCACAACCAUCCGUAACGAGAUCUGACACCCUUUUCUGGAGUGUCUGAAGACAGCUACAGUGUACUUACAUAUAAUAAUAAAUAAAUCUUUAAAAAAAAAAAACAACAAAUAAACCCAACAACAGCAACAAAAAUAUCCUGGUGGAGCUCUUUCCCACCAGGCGACACAGUGUGCGUCUAAAAGGUGCUGGGGAGCCCGAGCACUACUUGGCCUUGUGGUUAGCAUGCUAAUCAGUGUGACAGAUACUGCUGGGAAAUAAUGUUGGUUGAUUGGAUGCUUGGGCCUGUCUGUACCAUUUCGGACCUAUACCUUAAUCAUUAACCAUCUAUUGAGUACUGUCAGACAGCCUUUGCAGGGAGCUGAGGCGAC
rnacentral:lncRNA from 1 species